AAGAACUGGGAUUACUGAAAUGGUAGCUUCUAUUGGACAUUCUUGUGUGAAAUCUUUAGAUUUGCUUUCUCAGUUUAUGAGUUAUAAGGUUAAUGGUCUUUGUCCUGAUGAUUGGAGUCUUGGGCAGAAGCUGAUUCUUAGUGGCUGUGAGCCUUUGCCAAGAAGGAGGUGUUUUGCUAAGACAAUACCUAAGGUUGGUUUACUUAAAUUACCUGAUUCAUUUUGGGGAAAUUAUAGUGAAAAGAUUUAUAGUUGGAGUGGUCUUGGUUGUAAGAAUGUAGCUUGUUUAAAUGUUAAGAAAUUGAAUAGAGAUUGUGCUGGUUGUUUUGAUGUUGUAAGUAGUGGGGGGUAUGAGAAGCAAAGAUAUGUUAAGGGUAGAGGGAAAAAUGAUUUCUUGAUUGAUGAUGUAUUGGGAAUGCUGGGAAAUGG
rnacentral:misc_RNA from 1 species